rnacentral:rRNA from 1 species
CCUACGGGAGGCAGCAGUGGGGAAUAUUGCACAAUGGGCGCAAGCCUGAUGCAGCCAUGCCGCGUGUGUGAAGAAGGCCUUCGGGUUGUAAAGCACUUUCAGCGGGGAGGAAGGCGUUAAGGUUAAUAACCUUGGCGAUUGACGUUACCCGCAGAAGAAGCACCGGCUAACUCCGUGCCAGCAGCCGCGGUAAUACGGAGGGUGCAAGCGUUAAUCGGAAUUACUGGGCGUAAAGCGCACGCAGGCGGUCUGUCAAGUCGGAUGUGAAAUCCCCGGGCUCAACCUGGGAACUGCAUUCGAAACUGGCAGGCUAGAGUCUUGUAGAGGGGGGUAGAAUUCCAGGUGUAGCGGUGAAAUGCGUAGAGAUCUGGAGGAAUACCGGUGGCGAAGGCGGCCCCCUGGACAAAGACUGACGCUCAGGUGUGAAAGCGUGGGGAGCAAACAGGAUUAGAUACCCUUGUAGUC